rnacentral:rRNA from 1 species
AGAGUUUGAUCAUGGCUCAGGACGAACGCUGGCGGCGUGCCUAACACAUGCAAGUCGAGCGGGAACCUCAGGAGGGGUAACCCUUCUGAGGGGAGAGCGGCGAACGGGUGAGUAACACGUGGGCAACCUGCCCCGGACACCGGGAUAACCCAGGGAAACCUGAGCUAAUACCGGAUACUCCGGCGCGAUCGCAUGGUCGCGCCGGGAAAGCUCCGACGGUCCGGGAUGGGCCCGCGGCCUAUCAGCUUGUUGGUGGGGUAACGGCCCACCAAGGCGACGACGGGUAGCUGGUCUGAGAGGACGGCCAGCCACACUGGGACUGAGACACGGCCCAGACUCCUACGGGAGGCAGCAGUGGGGGAUCUUGCGCUAAUGCGCGAAAGCGUGACGCAGCGACGCCGCGUGGGGGAUGAAGGCCUUCGGGUUGUAAACCCCUUUCGGCAGGGACGAAGGGAAACUGACGGUACCUGCAGAAGAAGUCCCGGCUAACUACGUGCCAGCAGCCGCGGUA